AUUGAACGCUGGCGGCAUGCUUUACACAUGCAAGUCGAACGGUAACAGGCCGCAAGGUGCUGACGAGUGGCGAACGGGUGAGUAAUGCAUCGGAACGUGCCCAGUCGUGGGGGAUAACUACUCGAAAGAGUAGCUAAUACCGCAUACGAUCUAUGGAUGAAAGCGGGGGACCGUAAGGCCUCGCGCGAUUGGAGCGGCCGAUGUCAGAUUAGGUAGUUGGUGGGGUAAAGGCUCACCAAGCCAACGAUCUGUAGCUGGUCUGAGAGGACAACCAGCCACACUGGGACUGAGACACGGCCCAGACUCCUACGGGAGGCAGCAGUGGGGAAUUUUGGACAAUGGGCGCAAGCCUGAUCCAGCAAUGCCGCGUGCAGGAAGAAGGCCUUCGGGCUGUAAACUGCUUUUGUACGGAACGAAACGGCUCUGGUUAAUACCCGGGGCUAAUGACGGUACCGUAAGAAUAAGCACCGGCUAACUACGUG
rnacentral:rRNA from 1 species